rnacentral:rRNA from 1 species
AUACGUAGGUGGCAAGCGUUGUCCGGAUUUAUUGGGCGUAAAGCGAGCGCAGGCGGUCUCUUAAGUCUGAUGUGAAAGCCCCCGGCUCAACCGGGGAGGGUCAUUGGAAACUGGGAGACUUGAGUGCAGAAGAGGAGAGUGGAAUUCCAUGUGUAGCGGUGAAAUGCGUAGAUAUAUGGAGGAACACCAGUGGCGAAGGCGGCUCUCUGGUCUGUAACUGACGCUGAGGCUCGAAAGCGUGGGGAGCAAACAGGAUUAGAUACCCUGGUAGUCCACGCCGUAAACGAUGAGUGCUAAGUGUUGGAGGGUUUCCGCCCUUCAGUGCUGCAGCUAACGCAUUAAGCACUCCGCCUGGGGAGUACGGCCGCAAGGCUGAAACUCAAAUGAAUUGACGGGG